rnacentral:rRNA from 1 species
CAUGGCUCAGGAUGAACGCUAGCGGCAGGCCUAACACAUGCAAGUCGAGGGAGAAGCCCUUUCGGGGGCAGAAACCGGCGCACGGGUGCGUAACGCGUAUGCAACCUACCUUUCACAGGGGGAUAGCCCGAAGAAAUUUGGAUUAAUACCCCAUAAUAUUAUUGGAUGGCAUCAUUUGAUAAUUAAAACUGCGGUGGUGAAAGAUGGGCAUGCGUCCUAUUAGCUAGUUGGAGUGGUAACGGCACCCCAAGGCUACGAUAGGUAGGGGUCCUGAGAGGGAGAUCCCCCACACUGGUACUGAGACAGGGACCAGACUCCUACGG